rnacentral:lncRNA from 1 species
GUAUGAAUUUUUUCCCGAGAAACUUUGGAUUCCGACAGACUCGAGGCUACAAGAGCUUAGCAGGGCGUCUGAGCCACGCGCCCCUGGUGCUGCUGCUCCUCUUCUUCACACUCUUCACUGGGCUCCUGGUGGCCAUCCUUGUCCAAGGUUCCAAGAACCCCAGCUCCCAGAGGCAGGAGCAGUCCAAGCAGGAGGAGAUCUUCCAGGACCUGUCCCAGCUGAAGGCUGCAGUGGCGGAACUGGCACGACUCCAUCACUGCCUGCCAAGAAGUGGGGGCCCAGCUCGUCGUAAUCAAAAGUGCUGAGGAGCAGGGUCUCACUCUGUCACCCAGGCUGGAGUGCAGCGGGCACAAUUACAGCUCCCUGCAGCCUCAAACUCCUGGGCUCAAGCAAUCCUCCAGCCUCAGCCUCCUGAGUAGCUGGGACUACCGAUACACAUCACCAU